CUCGGCGUAGCCAUCGGUCGCCCCUUGCGCCGCUGUACGCUGCGCCCAAAUCCUGUUUCUCCCCUAUUACCCCUCACCAAAGCCUUCCUCUGGUCUUCACAACAGAGGCUGCUGUCGUCGCUGCUGCUGGUGGUGGUUGUCUCCGCCGUGAGCCACUAGGUUGCUGCUCUCCCUGACGCAUCUCCUCUCCGUGGUCGUUGCCGAGAAGUGGUGGCUGUUGGGCGUCGUGUCGCUAGCAGUAAAUCCUGAGGACGACAUGCAUGGGAGUCUUGGGAGUAGCAUCUUCACCGUUUUCACUUCACGGAACUUACACCUAGUGUCCUUUAGGACCGUGUUUUGAGAACCUAGUACAGUUGUACUUUACUACCCGUGGUGGUUCAUCUUGAAUUUGAGAGAUACUCUCUUGGUCUGUAGCUAAUUUUCCCUUAAGACUAACGCCAUCGCCUAGAGUUACCGAGCAUGUUCUCGGUUUUGGUAUUGUAGCUUUGUGCUUUGCACCGGUGCUAGUUCUUUGCAAUAUAUAACUAUAUGAAUUACAUGUC